UUAGCUCAGCGGGAGAGCGCUUCCCUGACACGGAAGAGGUCACUGGUUCAAUCCCAGUAUCGCGCA
rnacentral:tRNA from 1 species